UUCUGGUUGAUCCUGCCGGCGGGCACCGCUAUUGGAGUUCGCUAAAGCCAUGCGAGUCGAGAGGGGUAAGCCCUCGGCGCACUGCUCAGUAACACGCGGACAAUCUGCCCUCGAGACGGGGAUAAUCCCGGGAAACUGGGAAUAAUACCCGAUAGGUCUGGGAUGAUGGAAGGCUCCCUGGCCAAAAUCUUCCGGGGCUCGAGGAUGGGUCUGCGGCCUAUCAGGUCGUAGGGGGUUUUACGGACCCCCUAGCCGAAGACGGGUACGGGCUUUGGGAGAAGUCGCCCGGAGAUGGAUUCUGAGACACGAAUCCAGGUCCUACGGGACGCAGCAGGCGCGAAACCUCCACAAUGUGGGCAACCACGAUGGGGGAACUCCAAGUGCUUACACUUUUGUGUAAGCUGUUCUCGAGCCUAAAAAGCUCGAGAGUAAGGGCCGGGUAAGACGGGUGCCAGCCGCCGCGGUAAUACCCGCGGCCCGAGUGGUGCUCAUUAUUAUUUGAGCCUAAAGCGUCCGUAGCUGGCCGGGCAAAUCUCCGGGUAAGUCGGGCCGCUCAACGGUCCGAAUUCCGGAGACCCUGCUCGGCUUGGGAUCGGGAGAGGGUGAAGUACUCCCGGGUAGGGGUAAAUCCUGUA
rnacentral:rRNA from 1 species